rnacentral:lncRNA from 1 species
GGUUCUGCUGUGUCAUGCAAGAAGGAGGCGGCGGCGGCGGCCGGAGCUGGAGGGGGAGGAGGGGAGGAACCUGAUCCUCGGUAGCGAAGGGCUGGAGGCAAACACCGAGCUCCCCCUGAGCCGCCUGGGAGCAGGGAGGGUUCUGCUACCCUGAGGGGCCCUCCCCGCGGGGCAGAGGAGGAGUGUUCCACUGACUGACCUCUUUUUGUUUUCAAAUGAAGAGGAGCCAAGAAUAGGACAGCUUGGGAAGGUGAGCUGCGUAUAGCUCGUCAGGCUGAGCUCAUCCUCGUCUACGGCCAAACGUUGGUUUCUCAUUUCUAGAAGAUGAAAGAUGUGAUGACUCAGGAAAAACUGGAAUCUUAGUAACUGUGGUGGGCAUUGAGCCUUGCCGUCCACAAGAGAAAGCUUGCUGCUCGAGAUGUGAGUCUUCAGAUGUUCCUGCCGCCAUAUCUGACAGCUGCUGCCAAGAUUCCCUGGUGGGAUGGACUCUUAUACCUCAACAACCAGAAGCCCAAGUAAACUCUUCUAUAAAUUGAAUGACUCAUGCUUAAAAAAAAAAACAAAAAACAAACUAUCUUUA